UCCGGUUUGUCACCGGCAGUCUCCCUAGAGUGCCCUUGCGUAGCAACUAGGGACAAGGGUUGCGCUCGUUGCGGGACUUAACCCAACAUCUCACGACACGAGCUGACGACAGCCAUGCAGCACCUGUGUUCCGGUUCCCUUUCAGGCACAGCCACGUUUCCGGGGCCUCCAGGACAUGUCAAGGGUAGGUAAGGUUUUUCGCGUUGCAUCGAAUUAAUCCACAUAAUCCACCGCUUGUGCGGGUCCCCGUCAAUUCCUUUGAGUUUUAACCUUGCGGCCGUACUCCCCAGGCGGUCGACUUCACGCGUUAGCUUCGUUGCCGCAGGGGUCAAUACCCGCGACGACUAGCAUCCAUCGUUUACGGCGUGGACUAC
rnacentral:misc_RNA from 1 species